rnacentral:misc_RNA from 1 species
AGGGGUACAUAUGCUAUAACAGAUUUACUGAAAAGGAAGAAUACACAUUCACAUGCACUAUUAUAGCACACAAUCAUUGCAGACUAAUCUAAGGCAUAAUUACAAUCUAAGGCACAAUUAUAGCAACUAUCUUAACACUCUUACCUCAAGAUAGGGGCUGAAGCAUAGAUAUCAUAAGCUCCUAGCUUGUUAUAAAUGUAAUGGAUACGAG